AACGUAGGUACCGAGCGUUAUCCGGAUUUACUGGGCGUAAAGCGCGUUCAGGCGGUACGGCAAGUCGGGCAUGAAAUCUCUCGGCUCAACCGGGAGAGGUUGUCCGAUACUGCCGGACUAGAGGGCAGUAGAGGGUGGUGGAAUUCCGGGUGUAGUGGUGAAAUGCGCAGAUAUCAGGAGGAACACCGGUGGCGAAGGCGGGUCUCUGGGCCGAUACUGACGCUGAGGAGCGAAAGCGUGGGGAGCGAACAGG
rnacentral:rRNA from 1 species